GAAUUCCAUGCGAACGCGACUAUCUAUUCGCGAGUCUCGAAUGCCUGGGAUGAAGACCAUUCCAUCUCCCUGAGAUCGUUCGAACAGCCCUCGGAUCUCAGUCAGUGCGGGCAGUAUACCUCGGACCGCUCACAUCUACUGCUCCAGACGAUUUUCAUAAACAUACGGCUGACUGCUCUUAUAGUCAUUCUGAAUUCGGUCGAAGGAUAACUCAGUCUCAAAAUGAGCGUCUGGGUCUCCAUCGCCUUCGUGAUUUUGGCGACUCUGGCAGUCGCCACUGCUCAGAACGAUGCUGCCGAAGCCGAGAGGACCGUGGGUGACAUCCUUCGACGAGUUUUCCAAGUGGUUCGUGCAAUCGCCGCGGGUCUUCCCGACAUGAUCGACUCGAUACAAGGGGCUUUAGCCUAGCCGAAUCCAGAUAGUGCACAGUCGCUGCGUGAAUCGGAUGGGAGCGAUUCUGUCCAUAUUGUGAAUUAAGUCCUAAUAAAUCCCGUCUUCUGCGCAAGAAGUUUAGGGUUCUGACAA